rnacentral:rRNA from 1 species
CACGUAGGGCGCAAGCGUUGUCCGGAUUUAUUGGGCGUAAAGAGCGUGUAGGCGGCCGUACAGGUCAGCUGUGAAAACUCGAGGCUCAACCUCGAGACGUCGGUUGAAACCGUACGGCUAGAGUCCGGAAGAGGAGAGUGGAAUUCCCGGUGUAGCGGUGAAAUGCGCAGAUAUCGGGAAGAACACCCGUGGCGAAGGCGGCUCUCUGGGACGGUACUGACGCUGAGACGCGAAAGCGUGGGGAGCGAACAGG